GGAAAAUCUGUCCCGAGUGCAGCCUCCCAGUCCCACAGCUUGUGGCUCGGCUGCUUAAGGUCUGAAUCUUCGGGGCUUGAUCUCGCUGAGAAAUGAAACGAGGCGGGAACUCUUUAAAUACGACUAACACGAAAUGCAACCAACAGCUUCACUCAGACAGGAAUGAACUUUUCGGUGAGAAUCAGACAAAGCGGAUCACCGGUACACAAUUGCUUCACUGCUGCUCUGGGGUUGUUUGGAACAAGACAGAGAAAAGAUCGAUGCGCUGAUCUCCAGUUAUGUCAGCAGAGCCACCACAGGUGCCACUGCAGAAGGGAAGGAGGGCUGGAAGAGAAGAGACCACAUGGAAAUUUUUUAUUCAUAACUGGACAGAACCAGGGGGGAGGAUCUUCUACUCUCCCCUCUCCCUGUAACUCACUGGUGGGCACAUCACAAAGUGAGUGAGCUGCUUUAUUAUUUGGAGAUAUUUCUUUCCCUGAGCAUAUGUCCUGUGAGUUGUGGACAGUUUAUGCUGACUGUUGGCUUUUAUCCUUAAGAAAAUGCAAAAUGUCCCCAGCUAGCAUGUAUCAAAUCGCAUACAUCAAAUUGUACAAUAAAACACUUGAAUUACUUUUAAGGUUUUUCACUUUGCC